UUCUGCCUCAGCCUCCCAAGUAGCUGGGAUUACAGCUUCUGGCCACAAGCAUAUUUCUGUACACCUGAGUUCUCCUGAAAUUUGAGACACAACACAAUAUCCCACACACUCCUUUUUCAGUGUCACCUCUUUUUCUGGCCUGAGCCCAAGGCUGAUUCCUACAGAGUCCCUUUGGCUUCCUUUCCCUGCUGGCC